rnacentral:rRNA from 1 species
UACGUAGGUCCCGAGCGUUGUCCGGAUUUAUUGGGCGUAAAGCGAGCGCAGGUGGCAUGGCAAGCCAGAAGUGAAAACCCGGGGCUUAACCCCGCGGAUUGCUUUUGGAACUGUCAGGCUGGAGUGCAGGAGGGGCAGGCGGAAUUCCUGGUGUAGCGGUGAAAUGCGUAGAUAUCAGGAGGAACACCGGUGGCGAAGGCGGCCUGCUGGACUGUAACUGACACUGAGGCUCGAAAGCGUGGGGAGCAAACAGG